UACGGAGGGAGCUAGCGUUGUUCGGAAUUACUGGGCGUAAAGCGCACGUAGGCGGCUUUGUAAGUUAGGGGUGAAAGCCUGGAGCUCAACUUCAGAAUUGCCCUUAAGACUGCAUCGCUUGAAUCCAGGAGAGGUGAGUGGAAUUCCUAGUGUAGAGGUGAAAUUCGUAGAUAUUAGGAAGAACACCAGUGGCGAAGGCGGCUCACUGGCCCGGUACUGACGCUGAGGCGCGAAAGCGUGGGGAGCAAACAGG
rnacentral:rRNA from 1 species